CCUCCCACCCUCUCUCUCCCCUUCUUCCCUUCCUCCCUCCCCUCACAUCACACACAUGCUAUAUACCUGUUCCCAUGUGAUCAGAUAUGAUCUGGUACCAUCCCCCUCUUGUAAUAGAUGUGGAUGGUGGGACCAAGAAAUAUUAAUUUUGCCUUUGAAUUCUGUUUUCUGGAUUGAUUCUGGCCUACUCUGUUAUAUUUCUGAGACAUCAGGUAGCUUUAUAUCCAUAGAGUACCUAGAGAAAUGACAAUCAUACUAAAUAGAAAUAUUUGGAUUUGCAUGCUAUUAUGUGUUACCUUAGUCUGUUUUGUGUAUCAUAGCAGAAUAUCACUGACUGGAUAAUUCAUAAAGAAAAUAAUUUUAUUUCUCACAGUUUUGGAGGCUGAGAAAUCUAAUAUUGAGGUGCCAGUGUCUGGUGAGGGCCUUCUUGCUGCAUUAUCCCAUGGUAGAAAGCAGAAGGGCAUGAGAGUACAUGGGAGAGAUAGCAAGAGAUUGAACACACAGUAUUAAGCUAUUUUAUAGUCAGCAUUAAUUAAUUCAUGAGUGGAGAGCUCUCUUGAACUAAACACCUCCCACGAGGCCCCAUCUCCUAACCCUGUUGGAUUGUGUAUUAAGUUCCAACACAUGCUUUUUGAUAGACACAUUCAACCAUAGCACAUAUUAACUUAAAUUGGGUAAUUUACUUGUGAUUUUCUUUGAAAUUAGUCCCUGUUUCCCAUUUAGUGACAGAAUCAUUAAUGAAUUCUUCUUAUAGCUUAUCUGUUAUUGGUUUAUGUGUAAUAGUAUAUACUAUCAUACAUGUUAGUUUUAGUUUAUUAAUAGAUUGACCAUGGUUUUAGUUUUUUGUCUUUUACCAGUUUCAAGAAACAUUUAUGUAUCUUAAGUUCAUGAAAUUAUAUGGCUUUACAUUUCAAGGCUGUAAUUUUAUUUAAAUUUACCGUAUUCCUUAUUCUCUUUAAAUAUUUUAUGUUUGAUAAGAUCAUUAUCAGGAAGGACAUUGCAAGGGCUUCACAAGUCUUACACACCAUCCUCAUAUAAUUCAUAAAUGUUUUCAGGAAUAAUACUUGUUAAUUGCUAAGAAGUAAAGAGUCACAAUAUUCAAUUAUUUAAGUUAUGAGGGAGUGUAUUCUCCUUGUAUAGAACUAGUAGCCUUUUACGUUUAUUCCUCUGCUAGAACCAGUAUUAUAAAUACAUUGAUUAAAAUGUUAAUAAAAUGAUAGCUAACUUUUAUUGAGGAUUUAUUUGUACUAUAUAAUACACUAAGCACUUCACAUGCAUUUAUCUCAUUUAAUCUUUCUUACCACAUUUUGUGGUAAAACUGUUAUUGUCUCCAUUUUACAGAUGAGGAGUCUGAGACAUUGAAUGGUUAAGUAACAGAACAAAUAAAUAGCUGAAUCUUAGCUUUUAAUUAUGAUGUUUUAAUGGCUCUAGUUCCUGAUUUCAUUAAACUGAAUCUGUCAGUUUAAUUUUACCAGUACAGUAAAGUUUGCUCCAGGAAAUACUUUAAAGUUUAAACAGAGAUCAUCAAGAGUAUAUUUAUUCAUUUAAAAGCUAAAAACACUGUGUUUAUAUAGACCCCACCCUCAAAAUUAAAAAAUUCUUCCUGUCUUUGCAGACUGGCUGUGUGCCACAGUAGUUCUUUAACGCUUAGCUAAGCUUGCAAUCCACAUACAGUGAUCAGCUUUUGGUGGAAGCUUAGGGUCUUCUCAGUUACUUCCUGAUCAUGCAUGUUGCUUUGGGCAUGCACAUGGCCUUCUACAUUUCCCUCAAACACAUGAAUGCUUUUAAAUGUCUAUGUUUCAAUUGCAGUCUUUUGCUUCAGGCUUCUCUGGGUUAUAAGACCUUGGACUUAGACUUUUGGGAUAAUGCUGGAAUAAGACUUUGGGGGUCUAUUGGGAAGGCAUGAUUGUGUUUUGAAAUAUAAGGACAUGAGAUUUGGGAGCAGUCAGGGUCACAAUGAUAUGGUUGGGCCGUGUCCUCACCCAAAUCUUAUAUUGAAAUGUAGUUCCUAUGAUCCCCAUGUGUUGUGAGAGAGACCCAAUGGGAGGUAAUUGAAUCAUAAGGGUGGUUACUCCCAUGCUGCUGUUCUUGUGGUAGUGAGUUCUCACAAGAUCUGAUGGUUUUAUAAGGGGCUUUUUUCUUGUUUUGCUCUGCGCCUCUCCUUAUGCCAUUGUAUGAAUUAGGAUAUUUUUGUUUCCCCUUUUGCUAUGAUUGUAAGUUUCCUGAGGCCUCCCCAGCCAUGUGGAACUGUGAUUCAAUUAAACUUCUUUCCUUGAUAAACUACCCUGUCUCAGGCAGUGCUUUAUAGCAAUGUGAGAAUGGAUUAUAUAUAGGGUUUUUAGUUUGGCUUGUUGUAUGUUCUGUUGAUGUCCACUGCUUCUUCUAAGUUAGCCUGACAGCAAAAGGCAUCUUGUAUCAUCUUUCAGGUGGCCCUUACACAGGUUAGAACAUAUAUGCACAACAAUUUGCAAACAUUGUUCCCUUUUUCCUUUGAGAACAAAUAUCAGACUCCCACCCUGGGAAAGUAGCUACCUACGUCCAGACUGCUACUGGGCCAGGGAGGGGGUGGGGCAAGUGCAAGUGUAAACACCACAAAAUUUUUAAGUUACCUUUUUUCUUGAUUCAGUGUUCAUUUGGUUUUGGAAAAUUUUUGACCAUUUGUCACAGCUUUUACAAAGUCCUGAAAAGUAUCUUUUGUUUUCCAGUGUUUCUGUAGGAGGACAUGUACUUGGAGUUUCAAACUCUGCCAUCUUGCUGAUGUCAUGCUGCUUUCUUUCUUUCUUUCUUUUUUUUUUUUUUUAAGAAUUAAAGGUUUAACAGGAAUAACAAAACGUUAUUUUCUCAAAUUAAAAUGGUCCAUUUGAAAAUGUGUUUAAGACUUGACUUCUUAUGAAUUUCUGUUUUACAUCUGAGUUUUCAUUAUCUACAAUAAUGAUUUAAAAAUAUUUAGAGAACCAAAUAUGGCUAUUAAAUCUUUAGAAUGUAAAUACAACAAAGAAAAUCGAAAAUUUUAAAAUUCAUGAGUUUUCUGUAUUGACUCUAGCACUGGCUUUUAGAUCUAAUGAGUGGUCCUGUAUUUUUAGCAUAAAUAAUUAGCUUGGGGUGGCUAAUGGGUAGCCUGGUUUCUCAAAUGAUGUGGCUACCAUAUUUAUAGAUAAUGCUGAGUCAUUAUGCUUUGCUUUCACUGUGUGUGUCAACACAUGAAUAUACUUUUUUCAUAGAUUUUUAAAAAUCAUUUCUUUUUUAAAGUAUUUUAAAUUUAACUAAAACACUUCAUUGGUAUAUACUAAUUCCUUUAAAAGACUCAAAGACUUUCAGGACUUUACACUAAACUCAUAGCUUUGUUUUCAUCUUAGUUUGAACCAAGUCAUUUCCCCCCAUCUAACUAUUAAAUACCUGACUUUAUAUGUUGACAGUUCUCUAAUGAUUCAAAGAUAAAACCUUUUCUUUAUUAUGUAAUACUUUUCAGAAUUCAUACCUAGUGUGAUAUGAUACUCUAAAACCUGAUAUUUUCAGAGGUAAACUGAAGACACAUUUGAGUAGGCGUGAUUAUUUAUAGUGUUAUUCUGGCUGUUUUUAACUUAACCUAGUUUAAAAAUCUCUGGCUCUGUCUUCAUGAACCUAGAUGUUUAUGUAUAGAAAAAUACUACAGAAAUCUAUUGUAAACCUCCCUUUAGAAAAAUUUCAGUAGUGCACAGACAGAACCAAAAAUGUCCUUUGCUAAACAUGACCUCAGUUAAAGCUAAAAGGGAGUCUGAUAUCCCAUUCAUUCUGUUUAGAAAUUUAAAUUACAGUUAUACAUACUGGCUUAAUAAGUUAGACACACAUGUUAGAAAUUAUUAUUAGGCAAUAUUAUGCACUUUCUUCAUAAUUUAAACUAUCAGCAUAUUUUUGCAAAUGAGCAAUUUAUUUUAAUUGUAAAUAUUAUGAACCCAUUAGGAAAGUUGCUUACCCAUUAAUGAGAAAUGAAUGUUACAUAGAUUUCAAACUUACGGUCACAAGUAAUUGAUGAAUUGUUCCUAUAGAUAAAUGUUGUACAAUGUUAUAUAGUAACACAAAUGUGUUAUGUAUUGCAUAUAAUUCGUGCAUAUAUUCAAAAUAUAUUCAUUAAAGACAUCUAGAUUGUUUUACUGGUUAGUUUACAGUAGAUACUGAAAUACCUUAAAAGUUACAACUGUAUUCUAAAAAUUACUUAAUAGGUAAAUUACUUUUCAGGUAAGUAAAAGGAAUUCUGUUACCUUAAAAACACAUUUUAGAUAUUUGUGCUGUUUAAUCACAAUAGUCUUUGUGUAAGAUUACAUUAAUACUAUGUUUCUGUGUGUGUGUUUUAUGUGUGUGUGUAUGUAUGAUCCAAAUAUAGUCUUUGCAUCCUUGUUACAGUUCUGGCUACCUGACAACUUAGUUCAAGGAUCAGAAAAGCAAGUAAAAACAUCAUACUAAACUCUCUUGCACCCUCUGUUGUUAUUUUUGGGAAACACUACGUGUAUGUUCCCAUGAUUGUAUUGUCAUUACACUUACUUAAAUCUCUUAUAAAAUUAAUACUUAUUUUAUUAUACUUACCUCCAAAUUAGAUUCAGUAGUAAAGUAACACUGGUUUAUUUCCCAAACUGGUGAAAGUUGUUUUCUGGUGUUACAGAUAUGUUUUUUUAUCAUAUUACAGCUUAAAUGAAAAAUGAGCCUUUCUGUUUGUCUUCGAUUUCUCCUAGUUACUGGUUUUAAGCCCCUCCAAAUGUUUCCCACCAAGGAAAAUCUCUACAGGAUGUAGCAAAUUGUAUACACAAUUUUACAGAGUUACAGAGUCUGUCUGUUCUUUUGUAAACCUUUCGAUAGUCAGUUUCCUUCCAAAAUAAGAGUCUGGAAUCGUUCAUACUAAAAUUAAGAAUUUAUAAUUGUAAGGAACAGAUGUUUUCAUAAACAUUUCCUAUAAUUAAUUUCAACUAGAGGAUUGAGGGAACAAAGCGUUUUUCCCGCUUCAAAACUUUAUUGCCUUUUCCCCAUAUAGCCAACUCUGAAAUGUUUUCUCUAAUAUUGUUAGUGAAACAAUUGUACUCCUUAUUUGAUAUGUUUUUGAGAAAGAAAACCUGCUUUCUUUUUUCUAUUACUAUUUUUUGCACCUUGAAAGUUACAUUUAAUGUGAUAUUUUCAUUUGGAAACAAUAAAAAUUAAAGAAAACCUUUAUAAUAGAUGAUCAAACCUGGUUGUUUAUAAAACCAAAAGUCUCUUAAUUAUUUGAAGGAUUUAAUAUUUGAUCUGAUAAAUAUCAGCUUAAGGAAGAAGUAUUCUAUUGGGAGAUUUUGCAUGUUUAAUCAUAAUUUUUAGUUUUAAGGAGAAAGAAGCUCAUUUUAAAUGUAUAAUAUAGUGCUUAUUCUAUGCUGAUUAUGGAAUGUUUCACAGGAAAUGUCUGCAAGCUGUUAAAUAACAUGUGUUGUAGGAAAUUUUCAUUUAGCAAGACAGACUAAUUUUUUAAAAAUCUUUUCAGUGUAUUAUAAUGUUAUUAAUUUUUAAAAGAAAAUAAAGGGUGUUGUAUGAGUAAUAUUACCAUACCCAUGUUUUCAAAGAAUUAGUAACGUAUACCUAGCUAGGUUAUUUUUAAACAUUUAUAUGUUUUUGGAUUAUUUUCUUCUAUAAAUUGUCACCGUUUUUAAGUGUUGUAAUCCAUUUUAGGAUUUUUUGUUUUUUUAAAAAAAACAAAAAAAGCUGGAAUACUAUUUUGAGAAAAGAGUAGAGUUGCAAGUUUAAUAAGUGUGCUCAGUCCAGUUCUCCUCCUCCUGAACACUGACACAGCUGCACAUAUCUCACCAAACUCUCAAAAAGAACCACUGUUCUUCUAUCUGUCAACUAUAAAAUAUGUAAAGAAAGAUAGGUAGCUAUCAUUAAAAUUACAUUUCAGCAUUCAGUACCCAUUUAAUGAGUAGCAUAAUUAUAUAAGUACAGUACCUCAGGAACUAUACUCAAUAAUUAAAAAUAAUCUCAUCUUUAAAGUGAAAGCUCUGUAAUUACUGUUUGAUUUAUCCACGACCACUGUGAUGAUUUCCUGUUGUACCUUUGAUUGUUGAAAGUGUAUUAAAAGUAUAAAUUAAAAUUGGAUAAAUCAUUGUUAUUAAGCUAUAAAUAUUAUAAAAAUGAAUAUAAUCUGAUGUUUGAAAGUUACAUUAUAGGAAUUAGGAGUAUAAAAUGUAAUCACACUCUAAACUUUGUUUUGAAGAACAAAUUACAUUUUUAAUAGUGGUAUACUAUGGUUUCAUAGAAACUAUACUUUGAAGUGUAUUUUUU